rnacentral:rRNA from 1 species
AAUAUUGGACAAUGGGGGAAACCCUGAUCUAGCCAUGCCGCGUGUGUGAAGAAGGUCUUCGGAUUGUAAAGCACUUUAUGUUGGGAGGAAGGGCGUCAAGCUACUACCUUCAUGUUUUGACGUUACCAACAGAUUAUGCACCGGAUCACUCAGUGCCAGCAACCGCGGUAAUACAUAGGGUGCAAGCGUUAAUCGGAAUUACUGGGCGUAAAGCGCGCGUAGGUGGUUCAGUAAGAUGGGUGUGAAAGCCCCGGGCUUAACCUGGGAACUGCUUUCAUAACUGCUGAGCUAGAGUACGGUAGAGGGUAGUGGAAUUUCCUGUGUAGCGGUGAAAUGCGUAGAUAUAGGAAGGAACACCAGUGGCGAAGGCGACUACCUGGACUGAUACUGACACUGAGGUGCGAAAGCGUGGGGAGCAAACAG